CCUACGGGUGGCUGCAGUGAGGAAUAUUGGUCAAUGGGCGAGAGCCUGAACCAGCCAAGUCGCGUGAGGGAAGACGGUCCUAUGGAUUGUAAACCUCUUUUGUCGGGGAGCAAAAAGGCCUCGCGAGGCCACAAGUGAGAGUACCCGAAGAAAAAGCAUCGGCUAACUCCGUGCCAGCAGCCGCGGUAAUACGGAGGAUGCGAGCGUUAUCCGGAUUUAUUGGGUUUAAAGGGUGCGUAGGCGGAAUAUCAAGUCAGCGGUAAAAAUUCGGGGCUCAACCCCGUCGUGCCGUUGAAACUGAUGUUCUUGAGUGGGCGAGAAGUAUGCGGAAUGCGUGGUGUAGCGGUGAAAUGCAUAGAUAUCACGCAGAACUCCGAUUGCGAAGGCAGCAUACCGGCGCCCAACUGACGCUGAAGCACGAAAGCGUGGGUAUCGAACAGGAUUAGAUACCCGGGUAGUC
rnacentral:rRNA from 1 species